rnacentral:lncRNA from 1 species
CUGUUAACCUGAUGGUGAGAGGACACUAGCUCUUCCUCCUGUCUGUCUAGUGGGAGUUUCUAUCCUACACUGAUUAUCUUGGCCUUCUAUAAUACAAUGGCUGAAGAUUUAAGUCAGGGUAUCAACUCUGUUACUGGGAGGCCUGAACCAGAUACUUUCCCACUUGGGGAAGGAAUGAAAUUAGCUUUGCUUUGGACAGAGCUCUAAUUUGGCCUCUUUGCAAGGUCCCACCAACCAUGACAUACCCUGUUCCCAGUCUGCCCUAAUCCCUAAUCUGCUGUGGGGCUCUUCCUCUUUCACAACACUCAGGACUCCCACAAUCCACCAAUUCCAUCCCCAGCAAGUGUUCCUUCUGCCUGGUCCUUUCCUUUCCUAGUGCUAUCUAACUCCAGGACCUUUUCUCCCAGUAUACUCUGGGCUCUGGAUAGCUACCUGGAACUCAGGUGUGGCCUCCAUAGAUAGCAGACUUUCUCAUUUGAUGUGUAUUUCCUUCUCACAGAACUUUUACAAGUCUGAGAUUAACAAAGAAGAAAUGUAUAUCCGCUAUAUCCAUAAGCUUUGUGACAUGCACUUACAGGCUGAAAACUACACAGGUGAGUAGGGAGAGGGAAGAGCCAUGCCUUCCUAUGAGAACAUACUGGCAAGAUAUGCACAGCUAACAGAUAAAGUCUCCAGGUUGAUCUCAGAAGAAAUGAGGGGGAUUGUGCUGUGCCUUCACCUCACUCCUUUCCCUCGGCUCCUUUGUGGCAAGUGAUGGAGACAAAGAAAGCAAAACUUCCACCUGCGCCUCCUUGCCAUGGCCUCCUCUACCAAAGGCUGUUCUAUUCUCUUUCUUUUCUACCCAUCCCUCUGAGACCUCAAGGGUGACUUCCAGAUUCUGAUAUACCAGGUUCAGAGCAUCUUGAGCUGUCACUCUUCAUGAACAGAAUCUUUCUUAAGCCCUUCAAAGUUGAAGCUAAAUGAGAUUGUAACAAAGUCAUAGCCGCUAACUCUGAGACUUCCAGAACACAUUGGGAGAUCUGCCUUGCAGUCUAGGUGCUUCCCUGCAACUGCACAGCAGUCCCACACUGAGCUCCCAAUGGAGGGUAUGGAGAGUGUUGAUAUGACUUCUUAAUAGGCCAAACAAGGACCCUUUCAUUAUUUAUAAUUUAAUCCAAAAUGUCUGUCACAUUGUUGACUAAGAACCACUCUGAAUAAGGAAUGUGUGUGUAUGCAUUUGUGUACUAUCUAAUCACCUUGUACUAUAGUAUCCCCACAGAAUAGCCAUCUUUUCCACUAUAUCUUAGCCCUUAGACUGUAGAACCUGAAUUUAUAUGAUAUUUAAGGAAAUAUGAAUUCUUCUUAUCUGCAAACAAUGCUAAAAUUUGAUAAAUUGGUAAAAACAGAGAACCUUCCUUUCUUACCUCUAGAUGUUAGAGUGUUUGGCAUAGAUACCACAUUUUCUGGUAGCACAACUUGACAAAAAUUACAUCUAAAAUGACUGGGGUCUGCUUGGGAGGCUGUGUGAGGAAGAUUGUGAGUUCAAGGCCAUCCUGGGCAACAUAACAAGACCCCAUCUCAAAAUAAAAAUUAGCCAAGUAUUUUUUAUUGAUUUUUUAAAAAAAUAAAUGACAGCAGAAUGCAUUACAAUUCUUAUUACACAUAUACAACAUAAUAUUUUAUAUCUGUAUAUAAAGUAUGUUGACACCAAUUCGUGUCUUCAUACAUGUACUUUGGAUAAUGAUGUCCAUCACAUUCCACCAUCCUUGCUAAUACCCUGCCCCCUCCCUUUACCUCCCACCCCUCUGCCCAAUCUAGAAUUCAUCUAUUCCUCCCAUGCUCCCCCUCCCUACCCCACUAUAAGUCAGCCUCCUUAUAUCAGAGAAAACAUUCAGCAUUUGUUCUUUUGGGAUUGUCUAACUUCACUUAGCAUUAUCUUCUCCAACGCCAUCCAUUUACCUGCAAAUGCCAAGAUUUUAUUCUUUUUUAUUGCUGAGUAAAAUUCCAAACAUAUCCAGAAUAGUACUUUGAAGAAAUGUGCAAACAAGGCCCCUGGCCUUGAGCUGGGCUUCACAGAGAUGUCUACAUGUUUAAGAUACAAGAAGUUACCAACUGGACUCCAUGGUAACAGCUGGCAGGGGGAGACUAGACAGGGGAGAAGAAGCUCUCCCCUUCUCAGGUGUUGUCCUCGAAGGGUUAACAUGCCCAGAACAGUGAGAGAAAAAGCUGCUUUUAUGUGAACUUCUGCAGACCAUGAAUUUCUGAGCCCCUCCCCUUACAUGCUUGGUAUAAAACUCUGAAACUACCUGAACUCGGGGUUCAGGGGAUUAAUUCAUUACAGCAAAAGCCGUGUCCUAUAUAUGCCACAUUUUUUAAUCCAUUCAUCCACUGAAGGGCAUCUAGGUUGGCUCCACAGUUUAGCUAUUGUGAAUUGUGAUGCUAUAAACAUUGAUGUGGCUGUGUUCCUGUAGUAUUCUGUUUUUAAGUCCUUUGGGUAUAAUCCAAGGAGAGGGAUAGCUGGGUCAAAUGGUGAUUUCAUUCAGCUUUCCAAGGAAUCUCCAUACUGCUUUCCACAUUGGCUGCCCGAAUUUGCAGUCCCACCAGCAAUGUAUGAAUAUACCUUUUUCCCCACAUCCUCGCCAACACUUAUUGUUGUUUGUCUUCAUAAUAGCUGCCAUUCUGACUGGAGUGAGAUGAAAUCUUAGAGUAGUUUUGAUUUGCAUUUCUCUGAUUGCUAGAGAUGAUGAGCAUGUUUUCAUAUAUUUGUUGAUUGAUUGUAUAUCCUCUUCUGAGAAGUGCCUAUUCAGGUCCUUGGCCCAUUUGUUGAUUGUGUUGUUUUUUUCAGUGCUUAGCUUUUUUUUUUUUUUUUAAGAAUAAUAUCAUUUAUUCUCUGUUUUUUUAAGAAAGAAAUAAACAAUAAGUAAUAGCCUUUCCACUUUCAGAAGAAAUAAUCGUUAAAAAGUAAUUUAAGAAGCACUCAAAUGUAUCUAUUUUUAUCUAAAACCAUGGCAUGAUACUCCUAUAUGUAGAAUAUUUAGAAAACAUUUACAAGAAUUAAGACUGUAGAUACUGACACUAAAUUUUUUUUAUUAGUUGCUCAUGACAAGUUCUUUAUAUACUCUAGAGAUUAGUGCUCUAUCUGAUGUGUGAGGGGUAAAAAAUUGCUCCUAGGAUGUAGGCUCUCUGUUCACCUCACAGAUUAUUUCUUUUGCUGGGAAGAAACUUUUUAGUUUGAUUCCAUCCCAUUUAUUGAUUCUUAGUUUUAAUUCUUGCGCUAUAGGAGUCUUAUUAAGAAAGUUGGGGCCUAAUCCCACAUAAUGAAGAUUAGGGCCUACUUUUUCUUCUAUUAGAUGCAGAGUCUCUGGUUUAAUUCCUAAGUCCUUGAUCCACUUUGAGUUGAGUUUUGAGCAUGGUGAGAGAUAGGGGUUUAAUUUCAUUUUGUUGCAUAUGGAUUUCCAGUUUUUCCAGCACCAUUUUUUUCUGAAGAGGCUAUCUUUUCUCCAAUGCAUGUUUUUGGCAUCUUUGUCUAAUAUAAGAUAAUUGUAAUUUUGAGGGUUAGUCUCUGUGUCCUCUAUUCUGUACCAUUGGUCUACCGGCCUGUUUUGGUGCCAAUACCAUGCUGGUUUUGUUACUAUUAUGAGCCAAGUUUUCUAUACUCUGCAUCCUCUUCCAUCCAUGAUCCCAGCAACCUUCUAAAAGGGCAGUGAAGAGAAAUAUUUUUAUAAUUUCCAUGAGUCAAAAGAGGCAUUUGCUAAACUCCUCAGGGACUAGACCAUGACUAGGAGGCUGGCUCAGGGAUCUGGAUAAAAAGGUACUAAGCCUUUUCUUUAGUGGCUCCUGGAAUGACAUCAGAAAAAAUAUAGAUGGGGAAAAAAUUUUCACAGAGUUCCCUGAGCUACAAAGGGAGGCCCUGAUGCCACAGAGAUAAAAGGCUCCUUGGUACCCACAGAGAAAAGGCUUCCCCACCCUGUGAGGAGCUAUGUGCAUUCCUCACAAGAGGUUUCAAUGGUAGCAGGCACAGGCAAAUAGGCAAGGAUAAGGAGGAACCUAGAAAGUGGCCACAGGCAAGUGGGCUUCACUACCUGGAAGUGGGUACAAGUUUAUUAAAAAUAAGAUUCUUCAUAAUUAUGGGAAGCAGGAUCGAGUAGGGCCUUUAAGCUAGGCAGAAGCUAGAACUAAUUAAUUUACCAGCUUAGAAUUACCCACUAAACGUGAGAAAAUAGAAUAGGAAAGAAAGAUGAUAUAAUGAGGACCCUGAACAGUGGCUAUAAUUCAGUGUUAUUCAUCUCUCGAAACUUAGGCAACCAUACUACUUAGCUGCUGUUUCUUUUUAAAAAUGUAACUCUCCCUAAUUGUUUCACAUACAGAAUCAGUUGUUGCCAGACCUCCACUCUGGGUUCAUUGUUAACUUAGGUUCCUCCAGGAAUGGAACCUCUGGCUCCAGGCCCAUCUCACAAUUAAUAUCAUUCGCACUCCUACUCUUUGGCCCUUUUGGAAAUGUUAAUGAUGAGAGAAAAGGAGUCAGUCACAAGACUAUGCUGAGGGUAGAAAAUGGAGCUAGAGACAUUGAAGGUGGCUUAGGGAAAAGUGAAGGAAGCCUUAGUUGGUGUUUAUCCAAUAGUUCUGAGAGGAUUGGAAAGAAAGCUGUAUUGAGUUGACCAAACAGGAACUCAAGAGCUCUCUGAUAUAUCAGUGUCACCUGAAGCAGGAUAACCUGUGCAUAGACUCUCAGGUAGCUGAGCCAUUCUUUAUUUUUUUAUCUGGAGCCCAGAACAGGUGACCAGGCCUUGGGAGGAAGUUAUCUACCAGGAUCUCUGGCUCCUUCAUGCUGGGCAGCCCUACUGUCUCACAUUGGUAUCCAGUGUCCCUGACCUGGGCUGCAUGUGCCUUGCCCUGGUAUUCUGCUCAGCAUGGACCUCUGGCACCAGGCUUCUCCUAGACCCCGAAAGGAAACCCUGAGCCUCCAUGCUGCCUGUUUCCACAGAGGCUGCAUUCACCCUACUCCUUUACUGUGAGCUGCUGCAAUGGGAGGACCGGCCACUACGGGAGUUCCUGCACUACCCAUCUCAAACAGAAUGGCAACGAAAAGAGGGACUGUGCCGGAAGAUCAUCCACUACUUCAACAAAGGCAAGGUAGGUAUCCUUAG